rnacentral:rRNA from 1 species
AGUGAACGCUGGCGGCGUGCCUAAUACAUGCAAGUCGAACGAAGUGGCGCACGGGUGAGUAAUAUAUAGUUAAUCUGCCCUACACAGAGGAACAACAGUUGGAAACGACUGCUAAUACCUCAUAGUGUAGGAUGAGACUAUAUCGUAUCAGCUAGUUGGUAAGGUAAUGGCGUACCAAGGCUAGGACGGGUAACUGGUCUGAGAGGAUGCUCAGUCACAUUGGAAGUGAGACACCGUCCAAAUUCCUACGGGAGGCAGCAGUAAGGUAUAAUGCGCAAUGGGGGAAUCCCUGACGCAGCCACGCCGCGUGGAGGAUGACACUUUGCGGAGCAUACACUCCUUUUAUCAGGAAAGCGGUACCUGAUGAAUAAGCACCGGCUAACUACGUGCCAGCAGCCGCGGUAAUUC